UAGGGAAUCUUCGGCAAUGGACGAAAGUCUGACCGAGCAACGCCGCGUGAGUGAAGAAGGUUUUCGGAUCGUAAAACUCUGUUGGUAGAGAAGAACGUUGGUGAGAGUGGAAAGCUCAUCAAGUGACGGUAACUACCCAGAAAGGGACGGCUAACUACGUGCCAGCAGCCGCGGUAAUACGUAGGUCCCGAGCGUUGUCCGGAUUUAUUGGGCGUAAAGCGAGCGCAGGUGGUUUAUUAAGUCUGGUGUAAAAGGCAGUGGCUCAACCAUUGUAUGCAUUGGAAACUGGUAGACUUGAGUGCAGGAGGGGAGAGUGGAAUUCCAUGUGUAGCGUGAAAUGCGUAGAUAUAUGGAGGAACACCGGUGGCGAAAGCGGCUCUCUGGCCUGUAACUGACACUGAGGCUCGAAAGCGUGGGGAGCAAACAGGAUUAGAUACCCUGGUAGUCCACGCCGUAAACGAUGAGUGCUAGAUGUAGGGAGCUAUAAGUUCUCUGUAUCGCAGCUAACGCAAUAAGCACUCCGCCUGGGGAGUACGACCGCAAGGUUGAA
rnacentral:rRNA from 1 species